CACACAAAUCACUCAAAUAGUCCUUUUGUUUUCAAAAGUACAUCACCUAUUAGAGAUAUGCAAAAAUCUCUCAACAAAAAAAUUAAAUUUUCAUAAAUAUCUCAAAACCAAAAGCACGGAGGUUUAUUAUUAAAAUAGGACAAGUUUGCCCUUCCUUACUAAUUUCUUAACCAAAUUUAAAACAAAACGACAACUCAUCUCUUCUUCUUCUUCUUCCUUUUCCUUCACCAUCCUCUCUCAUCACCGUCACAUCAUUGCCGUCGUUCAGCCGCUGCUUCAUUCCGCCGUUACUUCGUUCCGCCAUUCCGCCGUUAUUCUGUUUCUCCGUUACUCUGUUCUGCAUUUACUCCGUUCUGCCAUUCCUCCGCCCUGCUAUUCCUCCAUUCCUCCGCUCUGCAUUUCUUCUUAAAAUCGACGCUGAGCCUCUGUUUUGGACUUGCCAAGCCAGGCCCUGUAAUGGAAACAUUCGGCUCAGAUGAACUAAUGUCACGUCAUGUGAAAUUGGAUGAAGUUAUUAUUACGAUGGUGCUUAAAUUAGAGCAAAUACGAUGAGUUUUAUGUAGCAUCGAUUAUAGUUCCGUAGCACCGACGCCAUUUGCAGCAGUAGUCAUUGAUUUUUGGAACGUAAAAGGCGGUCGUCGGAG